AUUGAACGCUGGCGGCAGGCCUAACACAUGCAAGUCGAACGGUAACAGGGAUCAGCUUGCUGAUUCGCUGACGAGUGGCGGACGGGUGAGUAAUGUCUGGGAAACUGCCUGAUGGAGGGGGAUAACUACUGGAAACGGUAGCUAAUACCGCAUAACGUCGCAAGACCAAAGAGGGGGACCUUCGGGCCUCUUGCCAUCGGAUGUGCCCAGAUGGGAUUAGCUAGUAGGUGGGGUAACGGCUCACCUAGGCGACGAUCCCUAGCUGGUCUGAGAGGAUGACCAGCCACACUGGAACUGAGACACGGUCCAGACUCCUACGGGAGGCAGCAGUGGGGAAUAUUGCACAAAGGGCGCAAGCCUGAUGCAGCCAUGCCGCGUGUAUGAAGAAGGCCUUCGGGUUGUAAAGUACUUUCAGCGGGGAGGAAGGGAGUAAAGUUAAUACUUUUGCUCAUUGACGUUACCCGCAGAAGAAGCACCGGCUAACUCCGUG
rnacentral:rRNA from 1 species